rnacentral:rRNA from 1 species
AACGAACGCUGGCGGCAGGCCUAACACAUGCAAGUCGAGCGGGACCUUCGGGUCUAGCGGCGGACGGGUUAGUAACGCGUGGGAACGUGCCCAAAGGUACGGAAUAGCCUCGGGAAACUGAGAGUAAUACCGUAUGUGCCCCUCGGGGGAAAGGAUUUAUCGCCUUUGGAUCGGCCCGCGUUGGAUUAGGUAGUUGGUGGGGUAAUGGCCUACCAAGCCGACGAUCCAUAGCUGGUUUGAGAGGAUGAUCAGCAACACUGGGACUGAGACACGGCCCAGACUCCUACGGGAGGCAGCAGUGGGGAAUCUUAGACAAUGGGGGAAACCCGUAGAUCUAGCCAUGCCGCGUGAGCGAUGAAGGCCUUAGGGUUGUAAAGCUCUUUUCAGAUGGGAAGAUAAUGACGGUACCAUCAGAAGAAGCCCCGGCUAACUCCGUGCCAGCAGCCGCGGUAAGGCGUAUGUGU